rnacentral:rRNA from 1 species
AAUAGAUACCCCGGUAGUCCACCCCGUAAACGUUGGGAACUAGUUGUGGGGUCCUUUCCACGGAUUCCGUGACGCAGCUAACGCAUUAAGUUCCCCGCCUGGGGAGUACGGCCGCAAGGCUAAAACUCAAAGGAAUUGACGGGGACCCGCACAAGCGGCGGAGCAUGCGGAUUAAUUCGAUGCAACGCGAAGAACCUUACCAAGGCUUGACAUACACCAGAACACCCUAGAAAUAGGGGACUCUUUGGACACUGGUGAACAGGUGGUGCAUGGUUGUCGUCAGCUCGUGUCGUGAGAUGUUGGGUUAAGUCCCGCAACGAGCGCAACCCUCGUUCUAUGUUGCCAGCACGUAAUGGUGGGAACUCAUGGGAUACUGCCGGGGUCAACUCGGAGGAAGGUGGGGAUGACGUCAAAUCAUCAUGCCCCUCAUGUCUUGGGCUUCACGCAUGCUACAAUGGCCGGUACAAAGGGCUGCAAUACCGUGAGGUGGAGCGAAUCCCAAAAAGCCGGUCCCAGUUCGGAUUGAGGUCUGCAACUCGACCUC